CCCUAAAAAAAUUCUUUCAUGAGAAAACUGACCAAUUCAUCUUCAUAUGCACAAUCACAGCUUAAUGAGGUGUCAACCUAAACUAAAAGAAUGGCUGUCUAGAGGCAGAACUCCAAAUACUAGCCGGAGGUGAGAAAAUAACACGCAGAAGCAUUACAGUCUUUCCAGCAAUGGUCUGGAUCCAUCCCAGUGUACUUGAGUCUAUAUCCAGACCCCCUCUAUGGCCCUGUAUCCCUCAGCCCCACCCCAGACAGAGCCUCUGUCCCCAGAGUGGUCCUAUACCCUGACAUAGGGCCGCCACAGCCUACAAAGGCCCCGGCCAACACCUCAAGAUUGGUUUUAUGCAGGCAUCUGAUGCCUAGUCCGGUAUUGCAUUCUUGUUAUUUAAUUCAAAUUAUCUAAAUGGGAAUUUCUAAUCUUGAAUUUAUUUAUUCAUAUUUACAGAGGCAAUGGAUGGAACUAGAAAACCCCCAAGAGAAAUAUUCUCACUGCUAUAGAACAUCAGAUUCUGCUACAGCCAAAGCUGACCUAAGUAAGGAUGCACCAGUAGCUGAAGGAGCAUGAUUGAUAGGCACAUCCAGGGCUUCAGUGCACACAGGGAUUCAUCAAAAUUCAGAAAUAUGCAUGGCAAUGUGUGGUGCAUGAGAAUACCAGCCCUCAUGUGUACAGAAGCAGGAGAGAAGAAAAGGCCCAGAACCACUGCUGGUCCCACAAACAGAGGUGAGAGCUAUACUUUUGGCAUCACGCACAGCCUCAGUCCCCACUCCAUUGCUGUGUUCUCCAGCUCCCGUCCUCCAUCAGAAUAUAGUUGUAAUGCCAGCAUUGCUAGACCAAAGCUCUUACUUCCAAGGUCCUAAAAUCAAACACAUAUGAAGUGACUACGGACAUAGGGGGGUUGUACCCUUCACCCAACCUCAAUUAGGAAUCUGGUGAUGGAGCCGGUCCGUAUAGAUACACUGGAAAACACUCCAUGACUGUUUCCUGUUCCAAUCUGAUAUCACUAUUACUUGUCACCUAUCUGAAUAUCUGCAGUGACGGCAAUGACUCUUCUGAUUGAAAAUCACCACAAAUUCUAAGUAAUAUGACUCCAGAGUUUAGGAAGGGCACAGUAUCAUUUUUUAAAGUCUCUGCCUGCUAGUAUUAAAAUUAAGUUCAUGAAAUAAACUUAACGCAUUAAGCACUGUGUUUUCUCACAGCUGUAUCACUUCUCAGCUAGAAUUCCAUUCCCUCUGAAAAUGUCACGGGCAAUUGUUUUGCUACCAACAUAAUCUAUUUUCCAUCUCCUCCAGCUGCUUAUGGCUCUUGAGAGAGAAUUGCACGGGAGAAGAUAUUUGUGGGUUUUAUUUCCAUGUUUGUUAUUUUUAAAAAAUGAGGCCAUUUCAAGUGGUAAUGAUGGAGGGUGGUCUGUUUGUUUGUUGCAGGUUUACUUAUUUAUUGGUUGCUACUUUAUUAUUUCUCUUAGCUCCCCUUCGACACACAAAGUUUGUGUGUAUUGGAGUCGGCACUCUGAGUCUGUGCCCACUCUGGGGGGUGCCAGGACCCCAAUCAGCAGUACUCUGAGCACAAUGCAAAUGAGCGUCCUUCAGAGUUAGGAUUCGAUCUACACCAGAACCAUUCUAGAUUCCAUUUCUCUCUUCCUCAGUCUUCUCUCCCUUGCCUGUCUCCACUCUUCGAUGGCAGUCUCUAACUGCUUUCAAGUAUUUUGGUCAUUGACAUAGGCUGGGAGAGAGCAGGUGGCUCCUGAAAGUCAUUGUAGCAUACACAUAGUUGAGGGGCCACCAUGCCCUGUGUCAUAGCCCUUGCCUCUGCACUGGAUCCACCCGUAGGGUUGUAUGCACCCCAACCAGCUUAACCACACACAUCCCCAGGUGGUCUUUGUUGGCAAAAUAUCCAGGGAUGGAUAGAUAAAAAUCCCAAUUCUGAACUUCUUUCACAUUUCCUUAUCUCUAAAAUACAUUAGGCUCUCCCAGGACUGAAAUCUAAAAUCAGCAUCCUCAACCCACAGAGGUGUUCGUAACAGGGCCCAAAACACACACCACUCCUUCUACCCCAGGCUACAUCCAGCUUUGUGCUGGCAGUAUAGACUCGUAUCAGCCCAGGGUUGCCAUAAGUGAUCCUAGAAUACCCAGAACCAGCCCAGAGUAUGGGAGUGUGGGUAAGGAUAUCGGUUGUCACUGUGCACUUCCCCUCUCGUAUCUGGGGCUCUGGUAAUACAGAACAGCCUGUUCCCUUACACUUAGAGGAUAGGAGAAAACACAACCUUUACGUACCUCCCACCUGAGCUGUCCACCUGGCUCAUUCUGAUCCUGACCAGUGUAGACAGCUUAGCAACAGCCCCUUGGUCUUUCCAUCCCAAGGGCACAGGGAAGGGGCUGUUACAUGGUUUUAAAAACGUGUGGCCACUGCAUUUCUCAGUUAUCAGUUUCUCCAGCUGGGAAGUAAAACAGGGAAAUUAGAAUAAAUGGUCUUUAACAUCAUUCCAGCACCAACCUUAUAGACAAUACCUGGCUGGUGACGGUGGAUGUGAUGCAGAUCCAUUUCUGGGAACCUCCUGGGCAUUGUGCAAACUAAUCAAACCAGCUCUUUGCGUCUUGAAUCCCAGCUCUCCGUUACAACAUGGUAACAAGUGAACAAUCUCUAUUAUUAGAAUUUUUUUUUUUUGCUACGUAUCUCUAAUGCUAAGCUAACAGAUGUUCAUACUUUCCGACUUGAAGCAUUGCAAAAUCUUGAUAUUGUCAGAGGGAAAAAUACAUUUGGUUUCGUUUUUGACAAACUUGAACAUAGUGUUUGGAAAAUCGGUUCUAUCAUUUCCCUCCUUAUCUUAUCAGAACAUUAUAUUCUAACCAUUCUGGAAAACAGUUUACCACAAAUAAGUUAACCUGUACCUCUGUCAGUGAUACAAAGAGAACAUCCUGGCAAUCCAGACUUACAUUUUUAAGGCAACAUUUUGUUAAUGUUAAUUAUCUUAGCAAAUGUCAAGAAUUAUCAAACAUUCAUUAGAAACUUAUGUUGAUCCUUUUCUAGAAACUGGUAAGUCUUGGUAAGUUUAAUAAUCUUUACAUCGGAAAUACUGAAAUAUGACCUGUCUUUUCCAAAUGUGAACAAAGUACAAAAAAAAAAAAGGAGGAAACUGCCUGAGGUGAUAGUGGGUCUGAAGGCUCAGGUCAGAGGGGGCAGUAAUAAGAAAAUUGUAGAAAGGCUUUCAUGUUCCCCCAUAUGUGUGCAUUGAUGGAAGGCUGAGACGUGCAGCCCCCAUGUUGACAGCCUCGUGGCUGACUGACCAGCUCCACAGUUUUAUCAAGCUGAUCUGGCUUUAGUUUAAGCAUGAUUCCAGAUGGGUCAGGCUUCUGCACUCCUGUAUCAGUCAGUCAUUGGCUACAGCACUCUACCUGACUGAGAGGGUGGGUCUAACCUCCCAAUGUCUUUGAACAGGAGGCUCCUGUUAAUAGAGGGGAAAUCUCCAAAAAGCUACAGCUGUGUGCUUCCAGUAGCCAACAUUCACAGCAGCUGUGGAUUGGAGGAACCUGCCCAGCGAAGGUGAUGUGGGCAGGGCACCAACAGCAUCUACUCCACAGCUGUAGCCUAAGACAAUCUCUGGUGCUAGGGGAAGACAGAGGCAGUCAUCCCCAAAGCCAAACCACACAUUAUACUCAGGACAAUGGGGGACCCUGAAUAUUUCCCAAUUUGAAAUUUUCAGAGGGGAUUUUUUUAGGUCUAGACAAGGAAAGUAACAAUAAAUUGACACCCUCCAAAACUGCCAAAUUCCUCCAUUGGUUUACUGAUUCAGAAAAUAUGUAUUGAAUGCCUCAUAUUUGCUAGGCUAGAUUCUGGAGCGACAUGGAUAAAGAAGCAAUGUGCCUUAGUGAUGAGGACAGGCAUUUGGACAGAUGAUGAUAGUUGAGCUAAGGGUAGAGACGUGGGAACACCUACAAAGAAUUGUUGCCUUAUUUUGAGUUACUCUGUCCCAAGUGCUAGAGAUGUAUACAUACACACUAUCCCGUUUAAUUGCCCAAUGCCCCUUUCAGAUAAGCUAUGUUAACCUCUAAAGCAUAUGCGACAACUGAGGUAACAAGUCCACACAUCUGCUCUGACAUAUUAAGCUGUGAGGGCUGAGAGAAGAAAUAGGAAAGGAACCUCCUAAUUAUUUAACCUAUAAACCCCAAAUUUGGGCAUUUAAUUGGGAAGAGAAAAUGGAAUGGUUUCUGGGAUUGAUUGAAUACUGAAAACAUCAUGUUUAUCUGCAUUCUAAGCAAUUGGCAUGUUUUAUGAGCAAUCUGAUGAACUGUUACACUAGGUCUUGAAAAAGAAGAAUAAGGUCAUGUGCCAAUCUGGUAUGUCUUAUCUACUGAAGCAAGGUAAAACUCUUCUGUACAUUUUUUUCUAAAAUAAGGGAUAUAUAUUAUCACUGUGGCUAUCAAAGUGUCUGUGAGUGCAGAAUUGUUCAUUAUUUAUACAGCAACAUAAAUGCAUGCAGCAAUUUACUAUACAUAGCACCUGCUGAACAAACAACUCCCUGACUCUCUGCCCCAAAGAGCUGAGAAGAGUAUGACAUAGAACAGUACAAUGAAGAAAAAACGUAAUCAAGACAAAGGGAAGGCAGUUUGUGGUCUUUAUGGCCAGAAACUUUCCUACAACAGAUAUCAUUUUGUGUUUGAAGUAUUCAAUGAUGAGAAUCUAUACAUUGUAUUUGUGAAAUAUGGUUUCACCUAAUCAGAUCCAUCAUUUUUAUGUGCUUCAGGAAACCAAUGAAACUAUGGCUUGAAAUCAUCUCUUUGGAAAUCAAAGUUGAAAAAACAUCAGUGGUUUAGGAGAGAGUUGAAGAGUGGAUAGCAAAGACAAAAUGGGAUGUACGAAUUAAGAGAGAACUGAUCAUGAUUUAGGAAGAAGUUGCCUGAAAGGUUAUCAGAGUGCUGUUUGUCUUAUAGAAGUGUGUUUUUGAGUUGGGCAAUGUGUCAACGUAAAGCUGGCAUCCAAAGUCAAUAAAGGUAUACAGAGAAAGGACCGUAUGCAAAUAAUUUACUUCUAUCUCUGGCCACAGAUUUAAUCUCCCUGAUAUACACAAGUCACAAAUGUGGCUUGUGACUUAUGAGAGGAAAUGGAUAAAAGUGUGGUUUGAAGGACAGAAGUCAUCACUAUUUUGGAAAAGUUAUACAGAUUAGCUUUUAUGAUGAUGGUGAUGAUGAAUCAGAUUAGCUAGUGUUGGUGAGUUGUUUUAAACCAACCCCUCCUAGGUUAUAGAUAUUCUUUAAAAUGGUAUGAAUGCAUCAUCAAAAUACUCAUUGGCCAAGUACUAGAGUAGGUGACCACAUAACUUAUUUUCUAAGCCAAGACACUUUUGAUGGUAAAUGAAGGCACUAUUAAUAAUCACCCCACCACAAUAUGAGUAAACCAUGAUGAUUUUAGGUAAACCUGGACAUGCAGUUACCCUAAAUAUGUGUAAGCUGUGUACCAAGUGAGGAAAUUGGCCAGGCUACCAAGAAAAAAUCUAUGAAGCAUGAAUCCUCUUUAUCCAUCUCCAGCCUUCAAAAAGUCAGUUACCCUCCAGGAAGGAGGAUAAAUACAAAACUGCCCUCCACAGAGCCUACUGGACAGCAGCCAGAAUUAGAUUGCAGACAAGAUUGAAGAGUGAGUUUGUUCUUAUCACCUACCACAUUUCUUAACCAGUUGAACUGACUUCAAAGAAGCUUUGAAGAAAAAAAUGAGGAGUCUUUAAGAUGCAUGUGAAAACUACAACAUAAAGGGCAUGUGUAGCAAUAUUUCUGGUUUAUUGUUUAGGAAAAUACGACCUAGUGAAUGUGAGUCAGCACUUAGCCACCCAGCAACUCUCUUCACUCUACAGAAGAUGACAAUGGACUUAUUA